AAAAAGUAGAAGCGUGGGCACGUCAAUAUUGAAUACAUCAAGAAUUAAACACAAGAGAACAUGUAUCAAACGAUUAAAAUAUUUCUUUUAUUUUUCUCUGUCAUUUCAAUACCACGUUGGUUUAUAACACUCGCUGAGGCGGUGAGAAUAUUAUCAUUUAUUUACCAUUUCUGCUUAUAAAUUUAUGUGAAGCGGUAUUCCAAUUUUUUACUUUACUUGUUGAUUUUGGUCUUUUGAAGGAUCCAUCCAAGUGUGGUACCUUCUACAGCAGACGAUGCAGAUUCCCUCAGGUAGCAGCUAUGUGCCCACCGGGGCGUUACCAGUGGAAAGAUGCAAUUGGAAUAGUAAUUUCAACUGCGAUCUGCAUCGUGCCCCACCACUUUCCAUCGCGCUAUCUUCGUCAUGGACAUUUAAUAUUCUGUACGACGAAGUUAUAUUUUCUAUUAUGAGGAAAGCGAGGAAUUACGAUACACUGUGGCGAGUUCGGCUUGAUUGAAGAUCUUUGUUUCAUCCGAAUCCGUCGGCAUUCUGGACAUAAUAAAAAAAUAUGGUCGAAGGUGUGACGAAAUAAAAUAAA